GACGAACGCUGGCGGCGUGCUUAACACAUGCAAGUCGAACGGAAAGGCCCUGCUUUUGUGGGGUGCUCGAGUGGCGAACGGGUGAGUAACACGUGAGUAACCUGCCCUUGACUUUGGGAUAACUUCAGGAAACUGGGGCUAAUACCGGAUAGGAGCUCCUGCUGCAUGGUGGGGGUUGGAAAGUUUCGGCGGUUGGGGAUGGACUCGCGGCUUAUCAGCUUGUUGGUGGGGUAGUGGCUUACCAAGGCUUUGACGGGUAGCCGGCCUGAGAGGGUGACCGGCCACAUUGGGACUGAGAUACGGCCCAGACUGCUACGGGAGGCAGCAGUGGGGAAUAUUGCACAAUGGGCGGAAGCCUGAUGCAGCAACGCCGCGUGCGGGAUGACGGCCUUCGGGUUGUAAACCGCUUUCGCCUGUGACGAAGCGUGAGUGACGGUAAUGGGAAAAGAAGCACCGGCUAACUACGUG
rnacentral:rRNA from 1 species